rnacentral:tRNA from 1 species
GAGGGUACAGCUCAGUGGCAGAGUGCAUGCUUAGCAUGCAUGAGGUCCUGAGUUCAAUCCCCAGUACUUCUA